GCACUCACUUGUCACUACAUAUACAAAAACUGGAACAGUACAAAUAUGAGCAUGGCCUUGGCACAAAGAUGACACGAAAAUUCUUCAAGCAUUUCAUAUUUUG
ensembl:snRNA U6 U6 spliceosomal RNA